GCAGUAUGUUGCUGCUGGUUUCAGGGCGGUGAUCUCGGAAGCCGAAAGGGACCGAAGCGAAGGGGAGGCGGAAGAGAAGCAGCAGCUUCCUGCAGAAAUGUUGAAGACAGAGAAGGCAGGAGAAAACGGGAUAAGGUGUUUUCAUCACAGGCGAAAUAGAUGAGUGCUGUUCUGGUAUGAGAUGUCUACGCGGGGAAGUGGAAUCUGAUUUUCUGCCGCACAGGUCGAAAAUUAACCUUUUAGAAGCUAAAUGGCCCAGAGCAAAGUUGCACACGUUGUAACCGUACGGUAUACAUGUCUGGAGAACACAGCAAUAAAAAGCAUGCUCGCAUAGUCUGCGUUUGCCUCUAGAAGUGCUCCGUCGUGGAAGCGUUGUUAUUCUUUUAUUUAAGAAACAAACAGAAAAGUGUGUGAGUCUCCCUUAGAAAGCAGCCUUUUACCGCGCGGCAAGGUCUCCCUACCCUCAGGGUGAAAUUAGUUACUCUAAGACAGGUUCGCUGCAGCACCCUGGAAAGGACUGAUUCAGGAAGGGUCUUCUAGAUAAGCACCAAACUGGGCCUAGUUAUGCGGUGGUAACAAAACUGUGGGUAUCCUGGCACGAGUAACAGCAACUCAUUUGGCCCUCAGUUGCCUUAGAUGCUGCCACAGCCAUCAUUUUGGAUAUUUCAAUGUUAUUAGAAAGUUUCACUCUUAUUUUACUGUGGUACCCUAAUUUCAACUUGAAGUUAGAAAAGCAUCUAUCUUUAUACAAAAUACCAGUGAGAGUUAUUUGCCCUCUUUACAAAAGCGCCUUAUGAUUACAGUUAGGCUUGUGAUUUUUUUAACUGAAAAAUUGUGGAUUUGAAAACUCUUGCAGUGUCAGCAGUUUUCUUCUGAAAAGGCAAGCAUCUGUUUUCAUUACAGCAUACCGAUCACUCCCCAAUGUUUAGUAUUUUAUGUACUGAAACUUACUCUGACCUGUUUUGAAAUCACAUAUACUCAGCAGUUAGGUUGUGAGUGUCUUAGGAUUUUUUGGGUGGUGGUGAAUAGCUUCCAUAAAUUAAAAAAAUGAAGCUAUUGUGUGGUUUGCAGAUGUUCGACAUUGAACUAAAAGAAAAUUAGUGAUAAAUGAGAUGAUUAGUAAGGAGUUUUUAAAAAGUAACAUGCCAAAUAUUUAAAAUGAGUAAUACAUGUAGUUUUUCAUAGAAUGUGUUUAUAUUGAAAAUGUUUGCUAAAAUAGAUAGUGAUUUACAGAAGUAAUUUCAUCAUCAGUGCAUUACAAGUUUAUGACCUUAUGUAGUUUCCAUUAAAUUAAUAAUAUGCCAGAUAAAUAACAGAUGUGUGGUGUUUAUGGACCAUCCCCAAAUCUCUUUUAUUUGAAAUUUUUUUACACACAUUUUAAUACCAUGUUUUUUGUAGUCCCUAAUGAUUACAGAUGUGGAGAGAAAGCCUG
rnacentral:lncRNA from 1 species